GGGCGUGUGGUCUAGUGGUAUGAUUCUCGCUUUGGGCGGAGUUCGACUUUCAAAUCGGACUACAAUACCUUCAAGCAUGCGAGAGGCCCUGGGUUCAAUUCCCAGCUCGCCCC
rnacentral:tRNA from 1 species